UGGGGAAUAUUGGACAAUGGGCGAAAGCCUGAUCCAGCCAUGCCGCGUGUGUGAAGAAGGUCUUCGGAUUGUAAAGCACUUUAAGUUGGGAGGAAGGGCAGUAAGUUAAUACCUUGCUGUUUUGACGUUACCAACAGAAUAAGCACCGGCUAACUUCGUGCCAGCAGCCGCGGUAAUACGAAGGGUGCAAGCGUUAAUCGGAAUUACUGGGCGUAAAGCGCGCGUAGGUGGUUCAGCAAGUUGGAUGUGAAAUCCCCGGGCUCAACCUGGGAACUGCAUCCAAAACUACUGAGCUAGAGUACGGUAGAGGGUGGUGGAAUUUCCUGUGUAGCGGUGAAAUGCGUAGAUAUAGGAAGGAACACCAGUGGCGAAGGCGACCACCUGGACUGAUACUGACACUGAGGUGCGAAAGCGUGGGGGAGCAAACAGGAUUAGAUACCCCUGGUAGUCCACGCCGUAAAACGAUGUCGACUAGCCGUUGGGGAUCCUUGAGAUCUUAGUGGCGCAGCUAACGCGAUAAGUCGACCGCCUGGGG
rnacentral:rRNA from 1 species